ensembl:rRNA 5S_rRNA 5S ribosomal RNA
GCUUACGGCCAUACCUCUCUGGCUCCGCCUGAUCUCGUCUGAUCUCAGAAGCUAAGCAGAGUAGGGCCUGGUUAGUACUUGGAUGGAAGACCGCCUGGGAAUCACAGGUGCCGUAAGCU